AUUGAACGCUGGCGGCAGGCCUAACACAUGCAAGUCGAGCGAGCGGCGGGCGGGUGAGGAAUGUAAGGGGACUGCCCGAUAGAGGGGGAGAACUACAGGAAACGGUGGCUAAGACCGCAUACUGUUGGAUAACCCAUGUGGGGUUAGCUAGUAGGUAAGGUAAUUGCGUACCUAGGCGACGGUCCUUAGCUGGUCUGAGAGGAUGAUCAGCCACACUGGUACUGAGACACGGCCCAGACUCCUACGGAGGCAGCAGUGGGGAAUAUUGCACAAUGGGCGCAAGCCUGAUGCAGCCAUGCCGCGUGUAUGAAGAAGGCCCUAGGGUUGUAAAGUACUUUCAGUCGGGAGGCGUUACCGACAGAAGAAGCACCGGCUAACUCCGUGCCAGCAGCCGCGGUAAUUC
rnacentral:rRNA from 1 species